GAUCCUGGCUCAGGAUGAACGCUGGCGGCGUGCUUAACACAUGCAAGUCGAGCGAAGCACUCUGCUUUGAUUCUUUCGGGAUGAAGAGCAUUGUGACUGAGCGGCGGACGGGUGAGUAACGCGUGGGUAACCUGCCUCAUACAGGGGGGAUAACAGUUAGAAAUGGCUGCUAAUACCGCAUAAGACCACCAGCACCGCCAUGGUGCAGGGUAAAACGUACCGGUGGU
rnacentral:rRNA from 1 species